GACGCCGGCGCCACGCUGAACCUGGCCGACACGGCGGCGGCCCACCGCCCUCCACCUGGCGCUGCACCGGCGACACGUGCACGUGGCGCACCUGCUGCUCCAGGCCGGCGACGACUGCGACCUAGCUGAUCACGCGGGGGAGACGCCCAUCCAUCUGGCGGCCGCCGCCGGCCUGCUGACCCUGGCGCAGACGCUUUGCGCUUAUGGCUGCGCAGUGGACGUCAUCAACCGCGAGGGCCUGUACCCCAUCCACCUGGCAGCCAAACACGGCCACACCGAGGUGGUCAGGAUAUUGUGCCUAGCCGGCUGCACUAUAGACCAGCGGAACCGG